rnacentral:rRNA from 1 species
AUACGUAGGGGGCGAGCGUUGUCCGGAAUGAUUGGGCGUAAAGGGCGCGUAGGCGGCGCGGUAAGUCUGGAGUGAAAGUCCUGCUUUCAAGGUGGGAAUUGCUUUGGAUACUGCCGCGCUUGAGUGCAGGAGAGGUUAUCGGAAUUCACGGUGUAGCGGUGAAAUGCGUAGAGAUCGGGAGGAACACCAGUGGCGAAGGCGGGUAACUGGACUGCAACUGACGCUGAGGCGCGAAAGUGUGGGGAGCAAACAGGAUUAGAUACCCUGGUAGUCCACACUGUAAACGAUGAAUGCUAGGUGUAAGAGGUAUCGACCCCUUUUGUGCCGGAGUCAACACAAUAAGCAUUCCGCCUGGGGAGUACGGCCGCAAGGUUGAAACUCAAAUGAAUUGA